CAGAGAUGCGCAGUGCUGCCCCUUUCUAUGGGCAGGGCCGAAGGUCCGCGUGUAAAAGUACCCAGUCCCUGGUAACCUGACACUUCCCUUUUAAAAGCCACCUUUUGUCUAUCUCUGGCCUGCCACGAUUCUUCCUGUGCUCCAUAGGAGGACCCAUUGGACCCCCGGGCUGGCUGCAGGGCCCACACCUGGGUUAGACCUCGCACAGGGACGCUGCUGCCACUGUAAUAAAGCGUGCCUACACGCUUCUGAAACUGGUGUAGGAACAACCUCAGUUCUGUGAAAGGCGGACGCAGCAGGACAGAAUCUCCGUGGACAUCUGUCUGGAGGAGCAAUUUUACUGCGACAUUUUAAAGAAACAAAUUUAAUUGAUUUCCAAGGGUGUCCAUCGCGCUUCCUUCACUGCCUUGAUCAUGUCGGGGUCACCACCUGCGGGGGUUUGUCCUGCAGACCCUGACUCAACGACGGAUGAAUAAUGUACACUGACACAGAUCUUAUGCUUGUCAGUCCUGCUGAGCAUCCAGGCCACUUACAGACUCCAAGAAGAGUCCUGUCAGCCACGGCUCUGACUUGUUGGCCCUCCCGGCAUUUAUUUAGCACACAUUUAAUGACAGAAGUCUCAGGUAAACACCACUAGAAGGCUGGAAACACUCUUUUUGUAGAACAUACAAAUGGACAUUUCUAAGCACAUUGAGGCCUAUAAUGAAAAAUCAAAUAUCCCACAAUGAAAACUAGAAGGAAGCUAUCUGUGAUAAUGCUUUGUGGUGUAUGGAUUCAUCUCACUGACUGAAACCUGAGUUUUGAUUCACCAGGUUGGAAACUCUUUCUGCAGAAUCUGCAAAGAAAUAUUUCUGAGCCCAUUGAGGCCUACAGUGGAAAACUGAAUAUUCUGUGAUAAAACUAGAAACACCCUAUCUGUGAAAAUGCUUUGUGAUGUGUGGAUUUUUCUCAUCGAAUGGAACCUCUGUUUUGACUCACAAGGGUGAAACACUAUUUUAGUAGAAUCUAGGAAGAAACAUAUCUGAGCCCAUUUAUGCCUACAGUGAGAAACUGAAUACCCUGCAAUAAAAAGUAGACAGAAGCUAUUUGUAAAAAUGCUUUGUGAUGUGUGGAUUCAGUGUUAAACUUUUAUUUUGAUUCCACAGUUUUGACACCCUAUUUGUAGAAUAUAUGAAUGAACAUUUCUCAGCCCAUUGAGGCCUAUCAUGUGAAACCAAA
rnacentral:lncRNA from 1 species